GACGAACGCUGGCGGUAUGCUUAACACAUGCAAGUCGAACGAGAAGUCUUUUAUUGAACCUUCGGGGGAUAUAAGAGACAGACAGUGGCGAACGGGUGAGUAACGCGUGGGCAACCUACCUAUCGGAGCGGGAUAGCCUCGAGAAAUCGGGAGUAAAACCGCAUAACACGGAUAUAUCGCAUGAUGAAUCCGUCAAAACUCCGGUGCCGAUAGAUGGGCCCGCGUCUGAUUAGCUAGUUGGUAAGGUAAGGGCUUACCAAGGCAACGAUCAGUAGCCGGUCUGAGAGGGCGAACGGCCACACUGGAACUGAGACACGGUCCAGACUCCUACGGGAGGCAGCAGUGGGGAAUAUUGCGCAAUGGGGGCAACCCUGACGCAGCAAUACCGCGUGAGUGAAGAAGGUUUUCGGAUCGUAAAGCUCUGUUAUUUGGGGAAAGAAAGCCAGGGACG
rnacentral:rRNA from 1 species